GGCUUCUUUGAUGGAGGCUUUGAAGUCGGUGGCUUUGAGAUUACUCUUCCUCUGUGACCUUGACCACCAGCCAUGAGAAUGUACACUGUCUGCAUCCCCAUGCUCUCUGGUCAAGAGGACAGCUAACUUUCCAGAGCUUCAGGACCCUUGGGAGACAUCCUACAAUUCCUGGGAGCAAACUGACAUUGGAGGACUUGUCAGACCCUGCCUGUCCUUACAUGACCCACAGAGCCUGUUUCUUGGGGCUGCCAGUUGACAACUAAGGUUGCCAACAGAAGCCAGUUGCUCUCUUCUGACAUGGGAACUUACAACCUGUCAUCUUUUGUUGUCUGUGGAGCAGAGCACACAGCCAAGCCAGCAGGGAGAGUCUGUCAUUGGAGUCUAGAUCCCAUUGAAAUGAUGUAAUGUAUUCACACACAUCAAGGAAGAGUAAUGAAUCCUUACCACUGCUACCCUUGCUCAGCUCCCAAAUAGUCAGGGAAAAUCACAAGGGCAGUGACAGGGAGAGGAAGGACCUAAGGCACUGUUUGUUUUCCCUAGGUCAAAAAAUCCAAACAACGAGAUGGAGAAUAGUGGCCACAAAAUGGGCUAUUCAUCCAUCAACACAUUUCCCAGCAUCCUGAUCGUCACGCCCUGACUUAGGGGGAGAGCCAAGCCCCUAGAUAUACUGGAAGUAGGAUACAAGAAAGUAAUUGAUUGAGAAGGUUACAAACAACUUGAGAUAGAGAGCGAGUGCAAAGGAUGCAAUAAUUAGAGCAGGGAAGGAUGAAAAAGAAGAUCCAGCAAAAAUCAAGUACGAAGUACAAGUCUCCCUGGAGAGUUGUUGCAUCGACAUUAGACUGAAUGGUCAACAAAUAACCAGUGAACUCAGCAAGAAAGUUUGAAUUAUCUGAAACUGGGGCGGGCUAAACAGACGCCUGGAAUUCCAGUGUCCAUUUGUCUAGGCCGCUCCUGGGUGACUGUCUUCUCACCUUCUGUCUGUGAGCUUCCCUUUGACUGGGCAAUGACAAGAAACUCUCGAUGGCAUCAGUUGGAGACACUUAGAGUCCUGCCAGGACCAUAUGAUAUGUUAUCAUUCAAGAAAGCCCUGGAGAGUAUGCUGACUCGAGGGUAAAGUCUUCCUCACAGAGAGCAGGUAUGCAAGUGUCCAGCUAUGAGGAGGGACCAGUGAAAAGAGGGUUUCCUGAAGGGUGAGGACAGGCUAGAGCAAAAUAGCUGUGGUGUCCACAAAAAUCUACAGAGAAACUGUGGGAUGGCCAGACACAAUCUUCUUUAGGAAGAAUAAGCCAGGAUUACACCUGUACACUUGUAGACAUUGUACAUUGUGGGGCCUCGAGCAUCACCUCUCAUUGCAAAGGAGAACUUACCCUGGUUGUCUAUCAUACAGGAGUAUUUGAGGCUCAGUUGCAAUGAUAUAACAAAGCUUAUGAUCAUGAUUGUCAGCCAAGUAAGAUACCUCUGACUUCGACCAAAAACAAUUUCAUCUAUCCUUGGCCUCUGAGACUGAUCUUAUCAGUUGUGAGA